UUGCCUUUAAUAAAUUUGUGAAAGCGCCCGCAAUAACAAGGGCCAAAGUACUUUAUUCCAAUAACAACCAAAAGAAUCCGAACAAUCUAAGAUGUAACCCAGCCCUGCUUGAUUAUGACUACUAUGCUUGCUAUAACAUUAAUCCUGACAUUAUUUACCCUCAAACGCAGCAACAAAUAAAUCAAGAUCAUGCCACCACACAAGUAGCAGAAACCCAAGAACCGGAAGUUCAUGAAGAUAAAUCAUAUGGUUGGACCUUGUCGGGCACACAUCAAACUGGAGAACCUGCUGUUGAACGAACACCUAAUAUUUGGGAGUAUGCUGAUUACGUGACUGGAAAUGGUGAAACAGCCCAUGAGGAAGCGUCCUACUAUAUAUAUGACAUUACCAAUGAGGGAUAUGUCAGUGACGGAGUAGAAAAUGACAACGUCUACGACAGCGUAGCUCUUUUUGAAAUUACUAAUAAUGCCAACGCAGAAGACCAAGCAAAUCAAGAUUAUGAACACACAGGUGAUAGGGAGGCAACUGAAGUUAGUACU